rnacentral:lncRNA from 1 species
CCUUCCCUUGCCGACCGCGUUCUCUCCCUCUUCCUUCCUUCUCCCUUGCCUCUGGGUCGACUGUAUUUCAGGCCACUCUUCUGGUAUCUCCUGUUGUCUCCAUCCACUCCUCAUGGAGCCAUGUUGCUUCUGCCCCUGGGAAGAGCCAGAAAUUAAUGGGCACAGAGCUGAAGCGGCUGUGUGCGUAAGCACGAAUGUCACAAGUGCACCGAAUUCUUCCCCCAGUUCAUUCUUCCCCCCUGGAAUGCAGUGCUUGUAAAAUAUUUGAAGUGAAUAUUCUUCCUUGAUUUACUCGGAAAAAGAUCGCCUCAGGCACCAGCUCUGUGUCCAAUCUGGAGGCAGCUUCCUUACGACAUCAUCUUGUUGGAUUCCCACACAGUCCUCGCUGAUGGAGGUGAGGCAAGCUGCCAGCCCAGGCUACACCACCAGCAAGCACAGGACCCUCUUUGUACCCAGGUACUCCAUCCAGAGCCAGGAUGGCGCCUUCCCAGGACAACCAAGGAAACACGUCAUGAGGGUCUGUGUUCUUGGGGACAGAUUUUGCCAGGAGCUGUUCUUCCCAGCUCUUCGGGGAGUCUGCAGUUGGGAAACCAUACUGGCUGCUGUUAUCCUUUCAUGAUUUGCCUUCAAAUAAGAGAAGUGAGUUACCACCCAUGAACCGAGUCUCCCAAGUGCCUGCCCAAGACAGGGUCCAGUGCCCACUCCUACCAAAAGGCUCUGAGAAGUCCUGUGAGAAUUUAUUCCCCAAACAAAUCUGGUGUGAAAUCUUUCGCUAAUCUGUGAACAUCCCUGCUGUUCUCCAGCAGAGAUUUUGAUUUGUUUACCUUCUUUUCAGCAAGGUUCUCGAUGUUGACCUUAAAUAUGACAGAUCCCAGAAAUAAGUACUUUAUUUUCACAGAAAUAUAAUUUUUGUUCAGCGUAAGGGUUUGAGUUGUGUACCACUGAGCUACAUCCCCACCUGUAUAGUUUUCUGAGGGUUCUUUCCCUUU